GCCACGUCCGCGGGAAAUAAUAGGGAUGAUAAUAAAACAGGGGGAAAACCCGUCCGAGGGAAGCUGAAUGGAUGAAGCCAGAGACACGUCACGACCAGCCGCAGCCAUGAAGACCGUGCGGUCCAACCUCCGGCUGCUCACUCGCUCCCCUUCUUUCGAGCCGCUCGCUUCUCUGGGUUGAAGAGGAGACCGAGGCAGCAGAGGCAGCAGCAGCAGCGACGCGCAGGGCGACUGCGUCAGAAUGUGGCCCAUGUUACUUCGCCUGCAGCUUGAGAGGAUGGGUAGCCUUAGGGGUUGGCUGUUAUCUUUGGUUAUCUAGCUGUAUGAGUGAUGUACAUUCUUCAUAAAGCUAGAUAACCGAAAGUAACAAGAAUCCCAUUACACUCCUGAAAAAGGCAUCAGGACCCCCCCAUGUGUGCUUCCCUUAAAAACAAGGGGAAACAGAAGCACUGCAAAAUCUGCCAAAAGAAGAGUAGUAAAAGAAAGUGAAGAAAAUGGACGACGUUUAGACGGACAUGAAAGAGGAAUGCAACAAAAGGCUACCACCACCAGACCAGUGAAGGAGAGCUGGCAAAAGGAGACUGAAAAACAGAGGAGGGGGGAGGAGGGGUUGCUGUUGAUUCUGCCUUCCCUCUCUCUUCGCCCUCCUCUGCAUCCCCCUCCUCCUCCUCCUCAGCUCCAUCCUCAGCAGAGUGCCCUUUUUCCUGUACAGCAAGACGCAGCCUGCGCCACCAUCUUAGAGCAACGCUGGCAUGAAAUGGAAGUGGGAAGACCAGCGAGUGCAGGUGAUUGCCGUCAGUGCCGGAGGAUCUAGAGCAGAAAAUGGAGGGACAGCUCGUGGGAGUUGAAGAGGCUAACGACACCAGCGCGUGACCUCUGCUCUCGAUCUUAGAAAAGCCUGCUGCGGUGGUUUUGCGCCUCAUUUUCCCCCGAAACAGUCAAGCUGGACCGACCCGAAGACAAACAUGUCUGUGGACUGUGUGCGGAUGAACUGGUCCAUCAUUGAGAUUCUUUCACAGACAAUAUUACAUCACGUAACGUCAACAGAUAUAGGCUCCGCCAACUGCAGGUCACGUUUGUUGAGCUGCAGCCCACGUUGUGUUUGAUUUGUUUUGUUAUAGUUGCUAGGACUCAAAGACACGUGAAUGUGAGACCCACGGCAGCAGUGAAUAAAACUGCACUGCGAUUGGACAGCUCCGUGUGUCUGCCGACACAAUGGCGAAGGAGUGAGCUGUCGUCUUUACACUCUAUGCAACUGUUUUAUCUUCUUUCUUUGUCCUUUCUUGUCAUCCUGAAUGCCAGUUGUGCGUAGCCCCUUUUAUUCGUCCUUUUUUUUUUUUUUUUAGGAGCCUACAUCCCCAGUGUUAAUAUGCCGAUGCAGGAGUUACAGUCAGUGUGUGACAGAUGACAGAAGUACGCCGCUCAGUUUCAUCAGCGGAUGUUCUCAAUCUCAUAUUUGCCACAGUUUGAGUAAAUGUGGACUCACACAUUUAAUAUUCCUGAUGGCAGGAGUGUAUUUGAUCAGCAGGGAGUCGCUGAGAAGGGCUUGUGGCUCUGUGUGUACAGCGCACGCCACACUAUUAAAACCUUCCCAGCAGGCUUUGCGACAAGACGUUUGUGCUUCAUAGCAAGUCACCUGCUGCACUGUAAUGAUACGUCUAUGGGGGGAAACGCGACAAACACGUCGACUUCACACACUGCCUUCAUUUCCUGUCCUUGACAUUAACACACACACACACACACACACACACACACAUAUGCAAUAAAGCAAGUGCUAUCACAGCCUAAUUCAUUCUAUAUUAAUUUUCAGGAAGUGGCAAUUUUUCUAAAUAUAUAUAUAUAUAUAUGACGAUUGAUAAUCUAUGCAAAUCUUUUUAAAUAUUACUUUAAACAAUCAAUGUCUAUGCAGAGCUUUUGCAAUUGAUAAAAGAGACACUUUCUUGGCCUAAUUCAGAAAACGUAUUCUUUUGAUAAUCAUGCACAUCCCAGUGCUCGAGACAAUUACUUAUCUGCCUGGAUAAGCUUGAAAUUAUGUUUUUAAUCUCUAGCAAAAAGAAGAAAGAAGAGUCACUCCUCUGAUAUCAGUCCAAUGGCAUGAAAAGUGUGAAUUGUAGUCUAGUGAAUGUACUUAGGGCUGCAACUAACGAUUAUUUUCAGAAUCAAUUAAUCUGUCAUUUAUUAUAAAUCGAGUACUUCUGUCUGUAAAAUGUUGAAACAUUUGAAUUGGCGUUUACCAAAUCUGGUAAAUGGUCUUGUUUUAUUAGCAUUUAAGGUGUGGAAAAAUCAGAAAGCAAUAGUUGACGAUUCAUUUCGUAAUGGGUGAAUAAUGGUUGCAGCCCUAAUUGUGCUAAAUCUCUUGGUUUUCUUUAAUGUUGAUCUGUAUCUGUAUCAUGUUGUUGAAAUGUUUGUGCAAUGCAGUCUGAUCACUGUGGAUUCACCACGUGUGCCUUCUCCAUGGAAAACUGUGUUGGAGUAGUAAUAAAGUUGUUUACAUUGAAAACAG